AACGAACGCUGGCGGCAUGCCUAACACAUGCAAGUCGAACGAGACCUUCGGGUCUAUUGGCGCACGGGUGCGUAACGCGUGGGAACCUGCCCUUAGGUUCGGAAUAACUCCCCGAAAGGGGUGCUAAUACCGGAUAAUGUCUUCGGACCAAAGAUUUAUCGCCUUUGGAUGGGCCCGCGUUGGAUUAGCUAGUUGGUAGGGUAAAAGCCUACCAAGGCGACGAUCCAUAGCUGGUCUGAGAGGAUGAUCAGCCACACUGGGACUGAGACACGGCCCAGACUCCUACGGGAGGCAGCAGUGGGGAAUAUUGGACAAUGGGCCAAAGCCUGAUACAGCAAUGCCGCGUGAGUGAUGAAGGCCUUAGGGUUGUAAAGCUCUUUUAACCGGGAUGAUAAUGACAGUACCGGGAGAAUAAGCUCCGGCUAACUCCGUG
rnacentral:rRNA from 1 species